rnacentral:rRNA from 1 species
AUACGAAGGGUGCAAGCGUUAAUCGGAAUUACUGGGCGUAAAGCGCGCGUAGGUGGUUUUGUAAGUUGGAGGUGAAAGCCCCGGGCUCAACCUGGGAAUUGCCUCCAAAACUGCAUGACUAGAGUACGGUAGAGGGUAGUGGAAUUUCCUGUGUAGCGGUGAAAUGCGUAGAUAUAGGAAGGAACACCAGUGGCGAAGGCGACUACCUGGACUGAUACUGACACUGGGGUGCGAAAGCGUGGGGAUCAAACAGGAUUAUAUACCCUGGUUGUCCACGCCGUAAACGAUGUCAACUAGCCGUUGGGAUCCUUGAGAUCUUAGUGGCGCAGCUAACGCAUUAAGUUGACCGCCUGGGGAGUACGGCCGCAAGGUUAAAACUCAAAUGAAUUGACGGGU